UUGUAGCUCAAUCUUGGGUGCAAUGAUCACGUACCCGCACUGACUGACUGUGUGGAGGCUCAUUGAUUUAACGUUACGUAAGCCUACAUGCUAUACUAGCAAAGAUAUUAAAUUAUAUAGCUGUUGGCUAUAUUAGCCACGACUUACCGUUCUUUGUGCAACUUCAAAUGUCGAACAAAGUUGGAAGUUGUUGCGCCUCCGUCUAAUUUUCUUCCCGCAUGUUUUGCAAGUUGAAAUCCGUUUUUUGUUGAUACAGUGUAGUCUUUAUAUCCGAUUUUUUUCUUUCUUAACACUUUUUUAAUAGCGUCAUUUUUAGUAUCUGGGCUUGGGGACGGUAUCAAGUCAGGUCGAGUCAAAAGGCUAAAAUCCAAGUUAAGUGACGAGUCAUUGGUGUUAAAGUUUGCACUUUUGACCCCACAGCUUGUGGGCGGGCUUUAGUGGGAGGUGUGGAGGAUGCUUCUCCGUUGGUCAGUCAUUUUUUGAGUGUCAGUUUAGCUACAACCAAAAGUGUUCAGCCUUUCUUUCCGACACAAAGGAAGUCAUAGACACUUAAAGUACAAAGAAGGACUGUGUGAUGAUGGCGUCUCAGAGUGGUAGGUGAAAUAUUUGCAGUGAGCCUUGCACAAGGUGGACCGUUUCCACGAUUUAUGCAGGAGUGGUGUUACCACUAUCUGUUGACCGGGACCCUGAAGGACCUAACAAAGGAUCAAAGAUGCCUUUGACCUGUCACCCUACGCUGAAGGACUCCUCAACUGUCACCCUACGCUGAAGGACUCCUCAACUGUCACCCUACGCUGAAGGACUCCUCAACUGUCACCCUACGCUGAAGGACUCCUCAACUGUCACCCUACGCUGAAGGACUCCUCAACUGUCACCCUACGCUGAAGGAUUCCUCAACUGUCACCCUACGCUGAAGGAUUCCUCAACUGUCACCCUACGCUGAAGGACUCUUCAACUGUCACCCUACGCUGAAGGACUCCUCAACUGUCACCCUACGCUGAAGGACUCCUCAACUGUCACCCUACGCUGAAGGACUCCUCAACUGUCACCCUACGCUGAAGGACUCCUCAACUGUCACCCUACGCUGAAGGACUCCUCAACUGUCACCCUACGCUGAAGGACUCCUCAACUGUCACCCUACGCUGAAGGACUCCUCAACUGUCACCCUACGCUGAAGGAAUCCUCAACUGUCACCCUACGCUGAAGGAAUCCUCAACUGUCACCCUACGCUGAAGGAAUCCUCAACUGUCACCCUACGCUGAAGGAAUCCUCAACUGUCACCCUACGCUGAAGGAAUCCUCAACUGUUACCCCACGCUGAAGGAAUCCUCAACUGUUACCCUACGCUGAAGGAAUCCUCAACUGUUACCCUACGCUGAAGGAAUCCUCAACUGUGGCUACACUGAAGGAAUCCUCAACUGUGGCUACACUGAAGGAAUCCUCAACUGUGGCUACACUGAAGGAAUCCUCAACUGUGGCUACACUGAAGGAAUCCUCAACUGUGGCUACACUGAAGGAAUCCUCAACUGUUACCCUACACUGAAGGAAUCCUCAACUGUUACCCUACACUGAAGGAAUCCUCAACUGUUACCCUACACUGAAGGAAUCCUCAACUGUGGCUACACUGAAGGAAUCCUCAACUGUGGCUACACAGGAAACUUGGAUCACAAGGACAGCAUAAUAAGAGCUAUUUUGCUACAUGCAAUCACAAAACGUACAGCGAUGCUUCAGCAGCUGAGUGAAGGCCUUGAAGUCUACAUCCUAAUUGAGGUCAUGCAGAAGAAACCGAAGGAAUGUCUCAAUCUCUUUGUGAUUGGGGAUGAUGACAUGGUUGAUGCACACUACAAAAUCUCAAACCUGGCCCCAGAGAUGAGUGAAAGUGGUUCUCCAAAACAAAAGGAGACAGAAAUAUUUCUUUCAAGAUUUCCUCCAAGAACUUGAUGAUGGGAAAUUGAGCCUGUCUGUGGCUGAAGACAAUGGAGAGAAAGAAGACAGUGGAGAGAAAGAAGACAAUAGAGAACCACUUUCUGUUCCCAGUGUAAUGCAGUGGCUGACAGGGCAGCCACACACACCUGCUUGUCUCAGAGAGAGAAAAGUUAAGGAUAGUGGUCAUUUUGGACCACUCAUGUCUACAACGCAUGCCGAACCACACUGUUUGUUACCUUGUUGUUAGUACAUACACCAAAACGAUAACAUUUCCCACAGCCCUCUGAGAGAUUACGAUGCAUUUAAAUCAAACACUGAAACAACAAUCAAAUACGGUGCAAGGUUUGAUAGAGUGUAGCUGAAAGACUACUCAAUUUAGCUGACUAAUAAUCCACAUACAGUACAUUAUGUUCCUGUGUAAAGAAGUCAAAUCUUUCUUGCUUUAUUUUGGGGUUAAUGCUUAAAUAUACACCCUUGACAACUGUGAUUUAGAAAAUGUUUUUUAUUAACCUCUUACUACUCAACAUUCAUAGAAGGAUGGUAGACUGCAGCGAUAGCUCAGAGGUCUAAACACUGGAGGGAUGAAUGGACUAUUGGAAAUAGUCAGAGAGACUGAUAUAGUAUUUGGGCUUUUGUAAAGUUUUUGCAUUAUGUUUUAUACACUGGUCCUACGCUAUACCUUCAAACACCAAAACCUUAGGUGGCUCCAUUGCUAGUAAAGAGUGUUACACUGUAUCAACAAAAUGUGUGUUUUGUAACAUCCUAGUCCAUGGGAAUUAUGUAAUUGAAAUGACAUACAAUUCACUAAUUUUCUGGUCCUUGCCAACAUACAGUGUUCCAGAUGUACUGCAACUACUUUAGUAUAUCAUCGGUUCUCUCCCCUUUAAUAUGUGAUUCUUUCUGUUUUUAUUCUUUAUUUUGUUUAACAAGUGCCUGAAGCUGUUCUAUAUACAGUUGACCUAUGGUGGCCAAAGACUCCAUUUUAGUAUAGUGUACACCAAGUGGUGUAGAAUACAAGUAUAUAAACUUUAUCCAAAUGCAAUGUAAUAGACCAAUUUAUCUCCGGGCUUGACGUCUAUCUCAUUGAGAGAUUCUUUAAGCUAGCAUUAUACACAAGUAAAGGUGCUAGGUCUGUCUUUAUGUUAUUCAUUUGUAGUACUGUAUCCUGUUUAUUCAGUGGUCUCCAACUUGACCUCUGGAGCUCAGAAAUGAUGAAGAUAACACUGAGACAGUGCCACUCUGUUAGACAGGAAUUUGGUGCUGAAGUACAAUAAUACUUUACAAGUCCUUUUGAUUACCCAAGGUUCAUUUGUAUGCAGCGAGGGAUGGACGGUUUUAUUAAAAUGUACAUUUAAGGGAUUUUUCAGUUGCUAAUUUUUAUAUUUUGACAUGACAAAGUUGUGUAUUUGUGGAUCUACUGUAUUGGUGUUUACAUAAUUGUACUAACCACCGUUCACUGAGCUCUGUGUCACUUUAGCAUUGUUAUGUCAUUGCCUGCUUUUGAUUUUCAUGUUAAGACACUGGAUGUCAUGUACCACUAACUGUAAAGGUGACAGCUCGAUAAAUUAUAUGGGGAGAGAAAGUCACCUCAGGAGCCUUUAUGACACCUAUGGAUUCUUGGACUCUUCUGUAAUUGGAUAGUGUUUUAUUGAUCACUGCAUUAUUAGAACGUACUAUAGAUUCACCUCUGAACUUGGAACCCGUUUGCUGUAUGUCCAAUGGUAGUGCCGUGAACAUGUUACAAUUAUUCACGUGAUUAUUUUGACACUGUUAUACUACAUAAUGUUGAUUGUUACAUGGUAUUUAUCAGUUUUAUAUGUUCAAAUGUUGGGUUUGUUUUUAGAGAGAAGUGUCAAUUAACAAAGAUGCUUUGUGGAAAAUAAAUACCAUUGGUUU